AGUCUUGCAUCAAAUGUAUGUAAAAAUCUAGCUUUUAUAUAUUAACUUGUGAUCAGAGCAACUGGUAUGUUGGUUGGAUAUAUUACAUAUUCAUUCGAUGUUUAUCACCAGAAGUUAGUUCUACCUUUGCAGUACCUCUGCUCUACAUACCUCCUCGCUGGUUAAAGAAUGGAAUAUAAAUCUCAUCAAGUUGGUGUAAAAAUUUAGUUUAAUAAAUUAAGAAUUUGUAAACGUUAUCAAAAUUUUGAGUGGAGCAAUUGUUUUUCUGGUUUAGCAUGAGUAUGAAUCUGAUAUCAAUUGUAUGUACAAAGAUAGUUUACUUCUUAAAGAACCUAUCAGUAAACUAACUUAUUAUAAAACAGUUUUUAAUGGGAAUAAAAACAAAUUUUCAAAAGAUUUCAAUUAGCUAUUUGUAUAUUCAAACACUUUAUUUACUGAGAGAAGAGACUAUAGAUUCAA